GAAUAUUGGACAAUGGGGGGAACCCUGAUCCAGCCAUGCCGCGUGUGUGAAGAAGGCCUUUUGGUUGUAAAGCACUUUAAGCGAGGAGGAGGCUACUUAGAUUAAUACUCUAGGAUAGUGGACGUUACUCGCAGAAUAAGCACCGGCUAACUUCGUUCCAGCAGCCGCGGUAAGACGAAGGGUGCAAGCGUUAAUCGGAAUUACUGGGCGUAAAGCGCGAGUAGGUGGCCAAUUAAGUCAAAUGUGAAAUCCCCGAGCUUAACUUGGGAAUUGCAUUCGAUACUGGUUGGCUAGAGUAUGGGAGAGGAUGGUAGAAUUCCAGGUGUAGCGGUGAAAUGCGUAGAGAUCUGGAGGAAUACCGAUGGCGAAGGCAGCCAUCUGGCCUAAUACUGACACUGAGGUGCGAAAGCAUGGGGAGCAAACAG
rnacentral:rRNA from 1 species